GCAGUGGAUGAGGACUACAUCAUAAGAACGUGGUUUCUUACUCAUAUGAAGGUUUAGAAGUUGGGUUGAUAACAUAGCAAGGUAACCAAAGGAAUUGAGUAAGAAAAUAAGGAAAUAUAAAGAAAUUCGAGGGUGGCUCGUAUGGGGGCCUACGUCGCGGAACCUAGGGAUGAGUCAGGCCGUCCAGCAUUUGUUAGGGGCAGUAACUCAUGGCCAUCACGAGCUCCAUCAUGAGAAACAGAAAAAUGGAAGGGAGGGCUUGUCUCUAGGUCUUGUGUCACCAGCCAGCAUGAUGAGGGCUCGUCAGCAGUCCUCGCGACACGAGGAGGGCAGACGAGCCAACUUUGAAGCCUUUUAAAGGUAUUUUCAGGGCUCAUUUUCUCCAUUUCACUUUGGCUGAUUUUGGAGGUGCUCUCUCCAAUCUAUACACUCUCAACCUCUCCCUCACCCAAGAUGUGUCAUUCACAGUAAAUAAUGAUGAGCAUGUUGAUGAAUUCUUAUAAAUGAAAUAGAAGACGAUGAUGAUGUACUUGAUUUGGAUUUUAUUUCAUCAAGGAGAUACUUGAAGGGCAUGAUAAUAGAUGUUAUGAGAUGUUUGGGAUGGAAAACAUAUAUUUCUUGACUUAUGCAAAACAUUAAAUGAACAGUAUGAUUUGAAAGCAACAAGAAAAAUGACCAUAGAGGAGAUGGUUGCUAUGUUUUUACUGGUGGCCGAACAUGGU